AGACACAAAGCACAAACACAAAAUCAUCAACAUCCAGGAGCUGUAAUAUUAUCCUUGUCGAGAAAAUGAAGGCGAUUGUGGUUCUGCUGGUGGUCGUACUGCUCACUCAAACUGAGGCUUUGAGAUGCAACUGUGGAGGGAGGAAAACCUGUGCUUGGGAAACUUGUUCUGGACCUGAAACGAAAUGUGGCACUAAAGUAAGCCUGGUGUCGCGACAGUAUUACAUUAAAGGCUGCAUGACUGACAGUGAGUGCAGUAGGAUGGUUCAAGCACCGAUAAUCACAACUUGCUGCUCCACUGACUUUUGCAACUGACAUCUGUGGAUCUGAUUAUGUAUUACUUUGUGUGAUUUAUAUGUGAAGAAAUUAUCAGUAAAAAUCCCAUAUGCAA